AGAGUUUGAUCCUGGCUCAGGAUGAACGCUGGCGGUAUGCCUAACACAUGCAAGUCGAACGGUGUCUUCGGACACAGUGGCGGACGGGUGAGUAACGCGUGAGAAUCUGCCUCUAGGUUGGGGACAACAGUUGGAAACGACUGCUAAUACCCGAUGUGCCGUAAGGUAAAAGAUUUAUUGCCUGGAGAGGAGCUCGCGUCUGAUUAGCUAGUUGGUGGGGUAAAAGCCUACCAAGGCAGCGAUCAGUAGCUGGUCUGAGAGGAUGAGCAGCCACACUGGGACUGAGACACGGCCCAGACUCCUACGGGAGGCAGCAGUGGGGAAUUUUCCGCAAUGGGCGAAAGCCUGACGGAGCAAUACCGCGUGAGGGAGGAAGGCCUUUGGGUUGUAAACCUCUUUUCUCAGGGAAGAAGAACUGACGGUACCUGAGGAAUAAGCAUCGGCUAACUCCGUGCCAGCAGCCGCGGUAAUACGGAGGAUGCAAGCGUUAUCCGGAAUCAUUGGGCGUAAAGCGUCCGCAGGUGGUUUUUCAAGUCUGCUGUUAAAGACUGGAGCUCAACUCCGGAAAGGCAGUGGAAACUGAGAAACUAGAGUUCGGUAGGGGUAGCGGGAAUUCCCAGUGUAGCGGUGAAAUGCGUAGAUAUUGGGAAGAACAUCGGUGGCGAAGGCGCGCUACUGGGCCGAAACUGACACUCAGGGACGAAAGCUAGGGGAGCGAAAGGGAUUAGAUACCCCUGUAGUCCUAGCUGUAAACGAUGGAAACUAGGUGUGGCUUGUAUCGACCCGAGCCGUGCCGCAGCUAACGCGUUAAGUUUCCCGCCUGGGGAGUACGCACGCAAGUGUGAAACUCAAAGGAAUUGACGGGGGCCCGCACAAGCGGUGGAGUAUGUGGUUUAAUUCGAUGCAACGCGAAGAACCUUACCUGGGCUUGACAUGUAUGGAUUAGUUCAUGGAAACAUGAAUGACGCCCUUGGGUGGAACAUACACAGGUGCUGCAUGGCUGUCGUCAGCUCGUGCUGUGAAGUGUCGGGUUAAGUCCCUUAACGAGCGCAACCCUUAUCGCUAGUUGCCAGCGCGUCAUGGCGGGGACUCUAGCGAGACUGCCGGUGUCAAACCGGAGGAAGGUGGGGAUGACGUCAAGUCAUCAUGGCCCUUACGCCCAGGGAUGCAAACGUGCUACAAUGGCGUGUACAAAGCGAUGCAAUAUCGUGAGAUGGAGCAAAUCGCAAAAAGCACGCCUCAGUUCGGAUUGGAGUCUGCAACUCGACUCCAUGAAGCUGGAAUCGCUAGUAAUCGGAGAUCAGCUACGCUCCGGUGAAUACGUUCCUGAGCCUUGUACACACCGCCCGUCAAGUCAUGGAAGCCGGGAGUGCCCGAAGUCGCCCUAUUUCAGGGGUGCCCACGGCAAGUUCGGUAACUGGGACUAAG
rnacentral:rRNA from 1 species